GACGAACUUUGGCGGCGUGCUUAACACAUGCAAGUCGAACGGAAAGGCCCUGCUUUUGUGGGGUGCUCGAGUGGCGAACGGGUGAGUAACACGUGAGUAACCUGCCCUUGACUUUGGGAUAACUUCAGGAAACUGGGGCUAAUACCGGAUAGGAGCUCCUGCUGCAUGGUGGGGGUUGGAAAGUUUCGGCGGUUGGGGAUGGACUCGCGGCUUAUCAGCUUGUUGGUGGGGUAGUGGCUUACCAAGGCUUUGACGGGUAGCCGGCCUGAGAGGGUGACCGGCCACAUUGGGACUGAGAUACGGCCCAGACUCCUACGGGAGGCAGCAGUGGGGAAUAUUGCACAAUGGGCGGAAGCCUGAUGCAGCAACGCCGCGUGCGGGAUGACGGCCUUCGGGUUGUAAACCGCUUUCGCCUGUGACGAAGCGUGAGUGACGGUAAUGGGUAAAGAAGCACCGGCUAACUACGUGCCAGCAGCCGCGGUGAUACGUAGGGUGCGAGCGUUGUCCGGAUUUAUUGGGCGUAAAGGGCUCGUAGGUGGUUGAUCGCGUCGGAAGUGUAAUCUUGGGGCUUAACCCUGAGCGUGCUUUCGAUACGGGUUGACUUGAGGAAGGUAGGGGAGAAUGGAAUUCCUGGUGGAGCGGUGGAAUGCGCAGAUAUCAGGAGGAACACCAGUGGCGAAGGCGGUUCUCUGGGCCUUUCCUGACGCUGAGGAGCGAAAGCGUGGGGAGCGAACAGGCUUAGAUACCCUGGUAGUCCACGCUGUAAACGGUGGGUACUAGGUGUGGGGUCCAUUCCACGGGUUCCGUGCCGUAGCUAACGCUUUAGGUACCCCGCCUGGGGAGUACGGCCGCAAGGCUAAAACUCAAAGGAAUUGACGGGGCCCCGCACAAGCGGCGGAGCAUGCGGAUUAAUUCGAUGCAACGCGUAGAACCUUACCUGGGUUUGACAUGGAUCGGGAGUGCUCAGAGAUGGGUGUGCCUCUUUUGGGGUCGGUUCACAGGUGGUGCAUGGCUGUCGUCAGCUCGUGUCGUGAGAUGUUGGGUUAAGUCCCGCAACGAGCGCAACCCUUGUUCACUGUUGCCAGCACGUUAUGGUGGGGACUCAGUGGAGACCGCCGGGGUCAACUCGGAGGAAGGUGGGGAUGACGUCAAGUCAUCAUGCCCCUUAUGUCCAGGGCUUCACGCAUGCUACAAUGGCUGGUACAGAGAGUGGCGAGCCUGUGAGGGUGAGCGAAUCUCGGAAAGCCGGUCUCAGUUCGGAUUGGGGUCUGCAACUCGACCUCAUGAAGUCGGAGUCGCUAGUAAUCGCAGAUCAGCAACGCUGCGGUGAAUACGUUCCCGGGGCU
rnacentral:rRNA from 1 species